UACGAAGGGGGCUAGCGUUGCUCGGAAUCACUGGGCGUAAAGGGUGCGUAGGCGGGUCUUUUAAGUCAGGGGUGAAAUCCUGGAGCUCAACUCCAGAACUGCCUUUGAUACUGAAGAUCUUGAGUCCGGGAGAGGUGAGUGGAACUGCGAGUGUAGAGGUGAAAUUCGUAGAUAUUCGCAAGAACACCAGUGGCGAAGGCGGCUCACUGGCCCGGUACUGACGCUGAGGCACGAAAAGCGUGGGGGAGCAAACAGGG
rnacentral:rRNA from 1 species